rnacentral:rRNA from 1 species
UACGAAGGGGGCUAGCAUUGCUCGGAAUUACUGGGCGUAAAGCGCACGUAGGCGGGUGAUUAAGUCAGAGGUGAAAGCCUGGAGCUCAACUCCAGAACUGCCUUUGAUACUGAUCGUCUUGAGUUUGUGAGAGGUAAGUGGAAUACCGAGUGUAGAGGUGAAAUUCGUAGAUAUUCGGUGGAACACCAGUGGCGAAGGCGACUUACUGGCACAAUACUGACGCUGAGGUGCGAAAGCGUGGGGAUCAAACAGG